AACUGAUACUACCUGCGGGAACCUGCGGAAGGAUCAUUAAAGAGUUGCAAGACUCCCAAACCAUUGUGAACGUUACCCACACCGUUGCUUCGGCGGGCGGCCCGGGCCCUGCCCGGCGCCCCCCGGCCCCUCGCGGGCGCCCGCCGGAGGUAAACCAAACUCUUGAAUUGUAUGGCCUCUCUGAGUCUUCUGUACUGAAUAAGUCAAAACUUUCAACAACGGAUCUCUAGAUCGGAAGAG
rnacentral:misc_RNA from 1 species